AUUCAUAGAGAAAGCCCUUUCCCUUUGCAGGCAGAAAACAGCUCAAGAUGCACGUGUUUCAUACAAGUCAACGACCCCACUGGAAUCACAACUAUAGCCACAAAAAGUGUUCUGAAUAAUGGAGGACAAACGGGCAGUUCAGCCUGGUGGAUGAUCUACAUUUGUCCGUACAACUACUCUUCCACCAACUUGCAUGCCAUUUUGGAAAUCAUCAUUCUAGUGAGCAUUUUAUUAGAGGCCUGAAGGAGGGGAAGAAGAUGAUCUUGAAGUCCAAAAUUACAUUACUGUCAUCGAGAUCAGAAUUGGGAUAAUGAUAAUGACGUGGAGUGAAUUUCCAGACUGCAUCUAUUAGGAGCACAAAAUGAACCGUGAAGAGGAAAGGUUUAGGGGCUUCAGUUUAUCUGCACACUUUGAGUGGCACGUGCCAUGUGCAAUAGCUGUUCCCUGAGGUUGAGAGUACACAUCCUCUCUGUGGAGGGGGUGAGUUCCUCAGGCUGACACAUUAGCCAAAGGCAAGCAAGGAUUUAUUGAAGAUACUCAGAAGAGGACCAAUGAGAUGAGCAGGCUUUCUUUCACAGGGCCAGUGUUAUGACCACCAGGCCAGAUAAUCAACCCCAUUGCAAAUACAAGUUUUUAGGAAUGAGAAAUACAGAGCCACUCCAAACUCUCUUUGGAGAAACAAAUACUCAUUUGCUAUUACCAUCAGGGUUAAUGAAACCAGGGUACUGUCACGUCAAAUGAUUUUUUUAUGUGUGUCAACAGAGGAACACAGGAACAGAGGUGCCUGUGAGAAAGUGUCUGUCUCCGAGACAAUUUCUUUGCCUCUGGCAAUGCAGCCUUCACUCCACCACCCAUUGCAGAGUGUUUGUGUGAUAGGGAGCUGGCAGCAGCCACCCCGUUGUGUUGUGUCCUCAUCACAACAACUCUUCUCCUGCCCCUCCUGAGCUGGGCCAGACAGGGUGCAAGGGCUAUGACUAGGGAGCAGGCACAGGUGUUCAGCUCCCUCUGCCUUAUCAUGCAGUUUUUUCCUCCCCUAAAUCUGAGUAUGUUUGGGGUUAAACUUCAGAGGAUGACACCAGUUCUGAAACUGCAGUCACUCCUCCACAAACACUUGUGUCAGGGAGUGUUCAAAAGACAGUGGCUCUUCAAGAUUAACAAGCCACAGCUGUUUCAGACUUGUAAAUCAAAUGACUGCUCUGGAAAGUUAGAGUGUGAUGGGGCAUCGCAUCCAGAAAUGUGGAAAAAAAUCCCCAAAUUCUCUAUCCACUCUCCAGCUCUGAAUUCCUAUAUGACUUCUAACUAAACCUGCUACAUAAGAGUCAGAGACUGAGCGCUAACACCAUUUUAAAUCCAGUCUUUUCCUAAAGCAAGUGCAGAUUUAUACAUAGCAUAUGUUUCAGGAGCUUCCACUGUAGAGGAAAGCAUUACUUCACUGUGAUCAAAGUGUAAUCUGGCCAGCAUAUGAUGAUAUGCUAUGUUGGUACUUCAAAUUCAUAAGCCAGCAUUCACUGCAGGGGAACUCAGUACUAAAAGAAGUCACACGGAGAUAACUUUAGUUCCAUAUUCAUUGUGUUCAAUCUCAGGAUGACUGAUGUUUGCAAACUGUUAUGCCAGUUAGAGACAGCAGCAUCCCUCCCCUCUUGUAACCACUCUUCAGACUGUUUCAAUAACUUGCAUAGCUCAGCUGAGGCUUCCGCAUCUGAUUCCAAUGUGGCUGUGUUAGUAGGGUAGGCUGGUCGUUUUAGCUGGUCUUUCUAGUUGCCCCUGGUCAGAUAUGAGCUACUCUAUAUAUAUGACGAAGCAGUGACUUCUUUCUUGUAGGUAGUGAGAUGUGAGUGUGAAGCUCUUUCCCACAUUAACUAGAUCUGGAAAGGGAUGUACUGGUCUAUGGCCUCAAUUUUAAUUUCAUGACUACAUGAUAAAGGUUUUCUUAAUUCAACACCACUUGCCAUUGCAGAAGAUUCAACCCCCUCCCAAAGAAUAAACAUAGAAACCUGCAGUUUGCCAGUGUGUCCAGAAGAGGUAGGGGACAAUUUGUUCUAACAACACAACAUCACCCUAGGCUCUUAUCUCAAAAUAUAUGGAAAAGAAAACUAUUUCACAUAGAUAAGACACUGGUUACUGAGCCGCCACAGCACAUGUUUAUAGAAUAUUCCACUAUGCAUCUCCACUGAAACAAGUUUCCCUUUCAUAAGAUUAUCUUUUUCUCCAUAUUGAAAUAAAGAUCAACAUGGAAAUGU
ensembl:lncRNA